CCUACGGGAGGCAGCAGUGAGGAAUAUUGGUCAAUGGGCGCAAGCCUGAACCAGCCAUGCCGCGUGAAGGAUGACGGCCCUAGGGGUUGUAAACUUCUUUUGUACGAGAGUAAAGUCCGGUACGUGUAUCGGGUUGUACGUACCGUACGAAUAAGGAUCGGCUAACUCCGUGCCAGCCGCCGCGGUAAUACGGAGGAUCCGAGCGUUAUCCGGAUUUAUUGGGUUUAAAGGGAGCGUAGGCGGGUUGAUAAGUUAGAUGUGAAAUGUUGCGGCUCAACCCGGAAACUGCAAUUGAUACUGGUAGACUAGAGUACAGUUGAGGUAGGCGGAAUUCAUGGUGUAGCGGUGAAAUGCUUAGAUAUCACGAAGAACACCGAUUGCGAAGGCAGCUUACUAAACUGCAACUGACGUUGAUGCACGAAAGCGUGGGUAGCAAACAGGAUUAGAUACCCUAGUAGUC
rnacentral:rRNA from 1 species